rnacentral:rRNA from 1 species
AUGGCCGCCGACACUGCCUACGCGAAGCGGGUGCUGCUCGCCUGCAACGGCGGCGCCGACGCCGUCUUGCGGGGGGUCGGCGUCGGCCUCGCCAGGCACGGCUGCAGGCUGGUCCUGGUGGGCGACGAGGGCGCCCUGGCUGCGACGGUGGAGGAGGUGCGGCGCAGCGCGGCAGAAGGGGCGGCGGCCAUCGCGGUGGUCGGGAUGGACCUCGCGGCCUGCGACGAGGCUGCUACUUGCUCGUUUCCGUCCAGAUCAUACCCGAGUUCCUGCUGCUGA